CCUACGGGGGGCUGCAGUAAGGAAUAUUGGUCAAUGGAGGAAACUCUGAACCAGCCAUCCCGCGUGAAGGAUGAAGGGGCUCUGCCUUGUAAACUUCUUUUGUCUGGGGCGAAAAAGCUCGAUUUAUCGAGAACUGACGGUACCAGAAGAAUAAGCACCGGCUAACUCCGUGCCAGCAGCCGCGGUAAUACGGAGGGUGCAGACGUUAUCCGGAUUAAGUGGGCGUAGGGGGCUUGGAAACGCAUUGGUAAAAGGCUGGGGCUUAACCAUGGAAUUGCCAUUGAUACUGCAGAGCUUGAAUGAGGUUGAGGUUGGCGGAAUGUGACAUGUAGCGGUGAAAUGCUUAGAUAUGUCAUGGAACACCGAUUGCGAAGGCAGCUGACUGGACCUAUAUUGACGCUGAGGCACGAAAGCGUGGGGAGCGAACAGGAUUAGAUACCCCUGUAGUC
rnacentral:rRNA from 1 species